AUAUCUAUAACUCAGUUGGUUAGAGUAUACGCCUGAUAAGCGUAAAGUCAUUGGUUCAAGUCCAAUUAGAUAUA
rfam:Blastocystis hominis, Singapore isolate B (sub-type 7) whole genome shotgun sequence assembly, scaffold_32